GAUGAACGCUGGCGGCGUGCCUAACACAUGCAAGUCGAGCGGCAGCGAGGGGUGCUUGCACCCUGUCGGCGAGCGGCGGACGGCUGAGUAACGCGUGGGAACGUGCCCCAAAGUGAGGAAUAACUGCCCGAAAGGGUAGCUAAUACCGCAUAUUAUCUUUGGAUCAAAGGAUUUAUCCGCUUUGGGAGCGGCUCGCGUCGGAUUAGGUAGUUGGUGAGGUAAUGGCUCACCAAGCCGACGAUCCGUAGCUGGUCUGAGAGGAUGACCAGCCAGACUGGAACUGAGACACGGUCCAGACUCCUACGGGAGGCAGCAGUGAGGAAUCUUCCACAAUGGGCGAAAGCCUGAUGGAGCAACGCCGCGUGCAGGACGAAGGCCUUCGGGUUGUAAACUGCUUUUAUAAGUGAGGAAUAUGACGGUAACUUAUGAAUAAGGAUCGGCUAACUACGUG
rnacentral:rRNA from 1 species